rnacentral:rRNA from 1 species
GAGUUUGAUCUUGACUCAGAUUGAACGCUGGCGGCAUGCCUUACACAUGCAAGUCGAACGGCAGCACGGGAGCAAUCCUGGUGGCGAGUGGCGAACGGGUGAGUAAUACAUCGGAACGUGCCCAAUCGUGGGGGAUAACGCAGCGAAAGCUGUGCUAAUACCGCAUACGAUCUACGGAUGAAAGCAGGGGGACCGCAAGGCCUUGCGCGAAUGGAGCGGCCGAUGGCAGAUUAGGUAGUUGGUGGGGUAAAGGGCUCACCAAGCCAACGAUCUGUAGCUGGUCUGAGAGGACGACCAGCCACACCUGGGACUGAGACACGGCCCAGACUCCUACGGGAGGCAGCAGUGGGGAAUUUUGGACAAUGGGCGCAAGCCUGAUCCAGCCAUGCCGCGUGCAGGAUGAAGGCCUUCGGGUU